UUCCAUUUCUUCUCUGAUGCUUGUAA
rnacentral:piRNA from 1 species